rnacentral:lncRNA from 1 species
GUGAAUAAUUGCCUUAAUCACAAUGAACUAGAGCUAUCUUGAAAGAACUUAUUUGCAGAAACAAGGCAAAGCAUUGACGAAGAUAGUGGUCAAAUGGAAGAACCAACCCUUACAGGAUGCCACAUGGGAGAUCCACUUUCAUUUUAAGAAGUUUCCUUCAUUCGAACCUUGAGGUCAAGGUUUAUUGAAGGGGGGAGUGAUGAUACAACACAAAAAAAAAGCUACCUGUAUUAGUUGUAUUCAUUGUAUAGGAAGAUGAACAUUGCGUUGUAUUCAUAAUAUAGGCUAGCUGUAAGGCAAUAAGUAACUAUCAAAAACUGAAUUUUAAUUAUAGCGACUAUGUGAAAUUAUGUUAUAUUUAUAUUGUAUUUAACUUGUAUUUUAAGAUAUAAUUAGAAAUUUCGGAUUGCAUUUAGCUUUUAUUUGUCUUCAUUCGGGUUGAGUGGGUGUUUUUGGCUAUGUUGUGCAUUUGGACGGAAUAAAGCAAAAAAGAAUAGAAAUUGUGUGCAAGAAGAUGAAAUUCAGUGUUGAGACUAGACUAUGCGAAGAC